UGCCAGCAGCCGCGGUAAUACGGAGGAUCCAAGCGUUAUCCGGAAUUAUUGGGUUUAAAGGGUCCGCAGGCUGUUUGUUAAGUCAGAGGUGAAAUCCUACCGCUCAACGGUAGAACUGCCUUUGAUACUGGCAAACUUGAGUUAUUGUGAAGUAGUUAGAAUGUGUAGUGUAGCGGUGAAAUGCAUAGAUAUUACACAGAAUACCGAUUGCGAAAGCAGAUUACUAACAAUAUACUGACGCUGAGGGACGAAAGCGUGGGUAGCAAACAGGAUUAGAUA
rnacentral:rRNA from 1 species